rnacentral:misc_RNA from 1 species
GAAAUGCGAUAAGUAACGUGAAUUGCAGAAUUCAGUGAAUCAUCGAAUCUUUGAACGCACCUUGCGCUCCUUGGUAUUCCUUGGAGCAUGCCUGUUUGAGUAUCAUGAAAUCUUCAAAGUAAAUCUUUUGUUAACUCAAUUGGUUUCUACUUUGGUAUUGGAGGUCUUUGCAGCUUCACACCUGCUCCUCUUUGUUCAUUAGCUGGAUCUCAGUGUUAUGCUUGGUUCCACUCGGCGUGAUAAGUUAUCUAUCGCUGAGGACACUGUAAAAGGUGGCCAAGGUAAAUGCAGAUGAACCGCUUCUAAUAGUCCAUUGACUUGGACAAUACUUUUAUGAUCUGAUCUCAAAUCAGGUAGGACUACCCGCUGAACUUAAGC